UCUCUGUAUAUGUGCAUGACUUUUCUUCACAAAAUGGCAUUAGCUUCGAUGUAUCUUCCACUAUUGUGAUGAUUUGCCAUGGCAUCUGUCAUAUCCUCUCCAAGAUGUGCUUCAUUACUAAUGAGUCAGUCUCUAUUAUCGCCCUGUCAAUGCCUGCUGUGAUGCAAUGAUAUAUUGCUUCCUUUAUGGCAAUUGAAUCAGCUUCCAUAUUUGUUGUUUCAUGAAUUUCCUUGGCUUCUACAUAUUCCUGACCCCCUUUAUGAUUUCUAAUACGAAAAUCAAAGGAACUUCUCCCCGAAUUACCUCUACUUGCCCCAUCUUUAUUACAUUUAAACCAUCCUUCCGGAGGAGCAGUGGCGGAGCCAGGAUUUUCAGUAAGGGGGUUCAAAAAUAUAAAGAGGUAAAUAUACAAGAAGCUAAGGGGGUUCAACACCUACCAUAUAUACAUAAAAAAAUAAUUUUAACCUUCAAUAUACACUGUAAUUUUCUGCCGAGGGGGUUCGGACGAACCCCCUCAACUACACUUGGCUCCGCCCCUGCGGAGGAGGAUUCCAUUUAACCUUCCUUACCUGCAGUUUUGGUUUGAAUCUAUCCAGAAAACUGACUAAGUCUGGCCAUGUUGUUGUCAUGUUGUUUAUCCUUUUAUACUUCAUCCUUACAAAAUUGUGUAUGUUUGCUGAGAUCUGAUAUUGCUUUCUAUGCAUAGUCGCUGAUCCUCCAUGUCUCAAUUUAUUUCUUCUAUCCCAUAAUUUCCCCAUAAUCACUGCUGGAAGUGCCUUAAAAAUAGGUUUCAGUAAAGAUUUACAGGGGGCUUUCCAGUAUUGAUUAACAAUCAGAGAUAAUUGUUGUCCAUUCAUAUUGAUACCUGCACAAGUAACAAACAUUCUCCACAACUUUGCGGCUGUAGGAAAGGUUAGAAAAAUAUGAGUCAUAAUCUCCUGUCCAGGAUUCCGACAGCACCAACAUCUGGAUGCUGAUUGAAUUCCUAUUCUGCUAACGGCAUCAUCAGUGGUAGUCUAAAUUUCCAAGCUCAAAAGAGAAUUUGAAAGGAAGCCCUUUUGGCCACAUGAAUUUAAAAAUAUCUUCCUUCUCCUCUUUGUGUCUUAUAUACUCCCAAGCACUAUUAACUUUAAACUUUCCACUAUUCUCCAACAUCCACCAAGUCCCGUCCAGUUCUGUAUUCUGUUUAGCGGGUGGUAUGAUACUAACAAUGUGCUCAACUAUAUCCUCUACCAAUUGUGUUCAGUUUCUGCACAUCCCAAUCAUCCAUGUUAGAGAAUUCCUUCACUUCAAUUUCCUCUAUGAAAUUAACUUCUGGUAAAAUAUAGUAUAAGGCUCCCAAAGUUGUCCAACUAUCAAACCAAAAACUAGAGUCUCCUUGUCUAACUUGCCACCAAAUUUGAUGUUCCACUAAUUCUCUGACUAGAACCAUUUUCUUCCAUAGCAAAUGCCCCUUGACUCUGGGCCAACACAGGAUGAAUCUUUUUGCUAUAUUUAGUCCACAUGUAAGAGCUCCAAAGUGAGGGCUUGAUUCUAAAAUUCCACUAUAGUUUACAUAGUAAAGCAUUAGAUAUUUCAAAUAAAGAUCUAAACCCCAAUCUUCCUUCAUGUUAGGCAAACACAGAUUGUCACACCUAAUCCAAUGGAAACACAAGUUUUUGCCUAUAUAGGCAUUUCUAGAUUAGCCAGGGUUUGCCAUGGACGACAUUGUUUUAACCUAAAAAAAAAAAAAAAAAAAGGAAGAAGGAAGAAAACAAUAUUACUAUAUUAGUUUUGUCGUGUUGAAAAGAGUAGUGUGGAGUAAGCUAGUGUAUCUUUCUAAUUCAUGUAUUCAAUGUUCCAAUUGUGUAUGGGAAUUUUCAUGACAGUUUUAUUUGCAAAAGCAAUUUUGGCAUGGGGCGAUCUUGAUGAUAAGGUUCAUGCAAAAGAAUAGUGUACCAUCACCGACAACAUUAAUACAUAAAGUCGGACUCCUCGAUGAUGCACUUCAUUGCGGCUUCUGGCGUUGGAGAUAUUCUCUUCCUUUUUUCAGGUUUGUUAGAUCUCCAUUUCCCUUUAUUUCUAUUCUUCAUUCUCAAUUUUUCCUCUUGAAGUUUGCCUUACAAUUUUGUAAAUCAUCCUAUGUUAUGCUUAAAUGGUCUUGUGAUUUUUGAUUCUCCAUUAGAUUGUGGAAGAGGAAGAAGAAAACAGAGAUCAACAACACUUAGGACCCGUUUGGACAGAGAAACUUUUUCCUUUUCUCCAAUUUCGUUUUCAAAACAUUGUUUGGUUAUACAUUUGACUGAUUUUUUGGUUAGUAUUUGAAGAUGAGUUUUUCAAGCCCAACAAAAUUGUCCUUCGUUAGUCUGGCUAUAUUGGUUCUCUUCUUAUACUCUAUAAGCCCUGCGGAUGACACAAUGGUUUUUAUGGGCUUCGUUUGUGUACAAGUUGCUCCGAUUAUGGCAUUCGUUAUGAUAUACGAAAUUUGUUUUUCACGUCGAGACAUAACAAGGAGUACAUCCACUAACCACUUGAGUUGUUGUUAUGAACUUCAUCACUACGUGCCUUCAUCAAAAGCAUGUCCCACAAGAAGAAGAUUGCAAGAACUGAGGCACCAAAUUGCUCUUCUAAACUGUGAAAGUUAUGAGUUUGAAAACUUUACCUUGAGAGAGUUGCAUUCUGCAUUUAAUGUCUUCGGAAUUCCUUACAUGAAUGAAGAAGAGAUAAAUGCCUUAUAUAUUCGCAAGUGCAAAGGCAUUGGUUUAGAGAGUUAAAUCACAAGCAUUUAAGUCAUGCUUAUUCUCUCAAGCCACUAGUGAUCAGUAUCAUGAGGAUGCACCACCAACACAAGCCUUGUCUUAUUCAGCCUCAGCUAAGCAGGAAUUUUGGAAGAUACUUAUAAUGGACGAGGAUGAUGAAUUGACAUGUAAUAUUUGUUUGGAGCAAGUUAGAAAGGGAGACCUUUUUCAUAGCUUGCCAUGUUUACAUCAGUUUCAUAGCAAAUGCAUUGAUCCUUGGCUCGGGCUGAACGCUUGUCCAAUAUGUAACAUGAGUUACGAUGAAAUGGUCUGAGGACUUGCAAAGCUUAAAACUCAUGUUUUAAUUUUAGUUGCAACUGACAGGCUAGAGGCUUGUCAUUAUGAGAAUAAAUGAAUUCUUAUAAGAAUUCUCACUGUAAUUUACAAACUUGUUGAAGCAGUAUGUAAAUAAUAGGCAGAAGACUCUACUACGUUGCACCUUCUUUUCACUUUGAAGUUCGUGAAUUUGAAGCUUCUCUCACUAUGAAAUGCAUGUUAAAACU